AAAUUGAAGAGUUUGAUCAUGGCUCAGAUUAAACGCUGGCGGCAGGCCUAACACAUGCAAGUCGAACGGUAACAGGAAGCAGCUUGCUGCUUUGCUGACGAGUGGCGGACGGGUGAGUAAUGUCUGGGAAACUGCCUGAUGGAGGGGGAUAACUACUGGAAACGGUGGCUAAUACCGCAUAACGUCGCAAGACCAAAGAGGGGGACCUUCGGGCCUCUUGCCAUCAGAUGUGCCCAGAU
rnacentral:rRNA from 1 species